CUUUAAGGGCAUCAGACUGCCCCUGUUGGAGGCGGUCACCCCUAUGGCCAUCUGCAAGACAGUCAGAAGGAAAAAGAAAGGGAUCAUACCUGUCAAAGGCCAAAGAGUUCCUUAAAAUCUACGAGUAUGUCAGAUGCAGUGACUCCGGGGGUCAUUUUCUCCCUCCUCAAAAAUUCCUUCAAGAGCAUCUAAUACAACAUAAACAACAGAUCUGUUCAGUCCGGAAACAGUAGUGCAAACUCUUCCUCAGAACCAUCUGCACCACUACUGAGAUUUGAAAACCAGAACACACAAAAAAGACCAUUGCUUAACGGAUAAUGAGUAAGGGCACUCUCAAACCCACGGCAGUUAUCUUCCAGCCAACUGUCCAAGCAGCUAGAGCACAUAUUCAUUGCUCUCACUCCCAAGUGACAGAUACAAAUGCUACAGAAGCUCAGCACAUUUCUCUGAAGAAAAUCAGCGGAUACCUCACAAAUCUAGUGUGAUAUUCCUCCUCCAAAACCUUUCCUGGACUUUAGUGACAAACAAAUAGAAUAAAUAAAGCAGUGACCAAACACCAGAACAAAUAAAUAGCAGUGAAUUUCCAAAUGGAGUAAUGAACUCAAGCCUCAUAUCUGCUCACGUAGCCAAAAAUGAUGAUGUUCCACUUAUUGUGAGUGACCUCGCAGUGGCUGGAGAUACCCUUUUGCAGUGCUGACAGUUUGAAUGUGUACCGGAGUACACUGACACUAAAAGGAAAUGCACAGAUCUCUGUAGAAGACAGAAGACAUAGUGUUUGUAGGAGCAAAGCAAAAAUACCAACACUUGCAAGUAGUCACUGCAAAACACAGUCUGGAAAUCUGUGCACAUCAUUGUGACAGCAGCAAUAAAUCAGAAGCUCUGCAGCUGUUUCGAGGGAAGGUUUCCUGUGAACCUAAAGCCAAAGUUUAAGAAUUGAGAAAGUAGCCUUGAGAAGAAAAGAAGAGAUGGGAACCAGUCCACACAAAGGACCAGACUGUUCCUGAAGUAGCUGAUUGAUUGUGCCUUGCUAAAGCCAUGGGACUAGUUGGCACCGUGCAGCAUCGAUCUCAAUAGAGGGCAGAACCACCAGGCAAGGAUUCACUGCAUUCUGAAAUUUUUCAGGUUCCAAACUGAGAGGAACAGCUUCCUGUCAAAUAAGCCAAUGCUACUGGACGAAUUGACCUUGACAUGACUGCUGUGAUGCCAAAAGCCACAAGCUAACUGGUAACAAUUGUUAG